rnacentral:rRNA from 1 species
AGUGAACGCUGGCGGUAGGCCUAACACAUGCAAGUCGAACGGCAGCACAGUAAGAGCUUGCUCUUACGGGUGGCGAGUGGCGGACGGGUGAGGAAUACAUCGGAAUCUACUUUUUCGUGGGGGAUAACGUAGGGAAACUUACGCUAAUACCGCAUACGACCUACGGGUGAAAGCAGGGGAUCUUCGGACCUUGCGCGAUUGAAUGAGCCGAUGUCGGAUUAGCUAGUUGGCGGGGUAAAGGCCCACCAAGGCGACGAUCCGUAGCUGGUCUGAGAGGAUGAUCAGCCACACUGGAACUGAGACACGGUCCAGACUCCUACGGGAGGCAGCAGUGGGGAAUAUUGGACAAUGGGCGCAAGCCUGAUCCAACCAUACCGCGUGGGUGAAGAAGACCUUCGGGUUGUAAAGCCCUUUUGUUGGGAAAGAAAAGCAGCAGGUUAAUACCCCGCUGUUCUGACGGUACCCAAAGAAUAAGCACCGGCUAACUUCGUG